rnacentral:rRNA from 1 species
GUGGGGAAUCUUGCGCAAUGGGCGAAAGCCUGACGCAGCCAUGCCGCGUGAAUGAUGAAGGUCUUAGGAUUGUAAAAUUCUUUCACCGGGGACGAUAAUGACGGUACCCGGAGAAGAAGCCCCGGCUAACUUCGUGCCAGCAGCCGCGGUAAUACGAAGGGGGCUAGCGUUGCUCGGAAUUACUGGGCGUAAAGGGCGCGUAGGCGGACAGCUUAGUCAGAGGUGAAAGCCCAGGGCUCAACCUUGGAAUUGCCUUUGAUACUGGCUGUCUUGAGUGUGGGAGAGGUGAGUGGAACUCCGAGUGUAGAGGUGAAAUUCGUAGAUAUUCGGAAGAACACCAGUGGCGAAGGCGACUCACUGGCCCAAUACUGACGCUGAGGCGCGAAAGCGUGGGGAGCAAACAGGAUUAGAAACCCGUGUAGUCC